rnacentral:rRNA from 1 species
GGUGAACGCUGGCAGCGUGGAUCAGGCAUGCAAGUCGAGAGGGUUUAGACCCUCGGCAAACGGGUUAGUAACGCGUAGGGAACCUACCCGAAAGUGGGGCAUAACCUAUCGAAAGAUAGGACAAUACCCCAUGGUCUGGUGCUGUAACUCAGCAUCAGUAAAGCUUUUGCGCUUUCGGAAGGUCCUGCGUCCUAUCAGCUUGUUGGUGAGGUAACGGCUCACCAAGGCUACGACGGGUAGGGGGUGUGAGAGCAUGGCCCCCAACAUUGGAACUGAGACACUGUCCAAACACCUACGGGUGGCUGCAGUCGAGAAUCUUCGGCAAUGCACGAAAGUGUGACCGAGCGACGCUGCGUGCAGGAAGAAGGCCUUCGGGUUGUAAACUGCUGUUCAUGGGGAAGAACUUUGACGGUACCCAUGCAGAAAGGAGCACCUAAUCACG